UCAACUCAGUGGCCCUGCCCAUGUGAACAGACAUUGGUUAUAAACUAUGAAACACGCCCUUCUCUCCCCUCCUAUAUAAAGCCCUUGACGAAAAUGUAACUUUCUGUUCCGAGGAUGUUAGGGCGACAGUCCUACGUUAAAAGGGCUCAGAUAAUAAGCUGUUCCAAGGACGUGUGGACUUGAGGUCCCCACGUUGAAAGGACAAAGACCACCUACCGAACUAAGCCAACCUUAGAGAACCUAACGAAAUUAGCAUUGAAUUUCAAUGUGAAUGUGACAACCUACACCCCGGAAGGAUGAAUUUUGACUAUACCAGCCAGAAUAUAGCAUGAGCUUAAAAGUAUGGCAACUUUUCUCUGAAGAAGCACGAAUUGUGCAAAACGUCAGGAUUUAAAAAACAUUUUUUUUUAGAGUUCAUAGUUCACUUUGAACUCUUAUUCACUCCAGAAGUGAUACCUCCUAGCCGUUGAGUUAGCAGCAGUCGCUAAACAUGGGCUUGGAGAGGACGGACAGAGUAUCCAUUCUACCACGCUCCAGUUCACCACUAGACAUUCUUCAGAGGGCCAGAGAUCCAUAAAAGACAAACCGGCCUUCCAUUGACAACCAAUCUACUGAAGCGCAGCUCAGAACCAUGAUUCCUGGAACAAUCCCUGUGAAGUCGGAAUGCUAGAAAACGGGUGAUGAGUCCUUCUACGUAAACCCUGCAGAUGGCUACUUAAAAUUCCUAACCUUGACGCAGCAGAAGCAUAGAGAAUUCCUUAAGGGAGGUAACAUUUUCUUCUCAUCACCGUGCAAGAUAUCUCCAAGUCUGCGUUUUACCAACUCCCUGCCCUGUCCCAAAUGGUCACCACAGAACUUAAUUUCAAACCCAAACAACCGUGAUGAAGGCCCAUGCGCCACAGAGUAAGAAAGAUUGGAUCAAGGACAGAUUAGCAUAUAUUUGAUCAAUUCCAAUAUUUGUGCUUAGGUAAAUAUUGUAUGUAUUUAUUUGAUUUAAAAUCAGUAUGUCCGUGGUCAUUAUGUUAUAUAGGUUAAUUGAACUGUAUUAUGUUCUAUAUUUAUGGUAAACAUCUUGCCCACCUAAAUGCCAUCCUGAGACAGAUUAUGCCUAUUAUAAUUUAUUACGACGAUAGGCCAGUAUUGAUAGCAAGCAUUACAUCUAGUAACCUUUGACCACACUCUCCUUAUCCUGCUUCAGUAUGUGAUAACAUGUCCUAUGUUUAUUUAUAAUCUUAACGAACCACUGACUGUAAUUCUGUCCUAAAACACACACUUUGCAUAAUACUGGUUGUAUAUUUUAUGAGUUGAAAGAGCUACAAAUUGGGUGAUUUGUUUAGUUCCCCUAUGACAGUGUAAAUUAUAAUAUCCUCAGUAUAGGUCAUUAGUCCAGUAAAAACGAUAGGUUUGUCCCAUUUAUCUGCAUAUUUUAAUAUUCAAAUAAACAGAUUUAUGAAAUAUUCUUCCAUAAUGUUAUGCAUUUGACUCCG